rnacentral:rRNA from 1 species
GACGAACCGUCCAAACGUUAUUCGGAAUCACUGGGCUUAAAGGGUGCGUAGGCGGUGCGGUAAGUUGGGUGUGAAAUCCCUCGGCUCAACCGAGGAACUGCGCCCAAUACUGCCGUACUAGAGGGAGAUAGGGGUAAGCGGAACUGAUGGUGGAGCGGUGAAAUGCGUUGAUAUCAUCAGGAACACCGGUGGCGAAAGCGGCUUACUGGGUCUCUUCUGACGCUGAUGCACGAAAGCUAGGGUAGCGAACGGG